AUUGAACGCUGGCGGCAGGCUUAACACAUGCAAGUCGAGCGGGGGAAGGUAGCUUGCUACCGGACCUAGCGGCGGACGGGUGAGUAAUGCAUAGGAAUCUGCCUAUUAGUGGGGGACAACAUCUCGAAAGGGAUGCUAAUACCGCAUACGUCCUACGGGAGAAAGCAGGGGAUCUUUGGACCUUGCGCUAAUAGAUGAGCCUAAGUCGGAUUAGCUAGUUGGUGGGGUAAAGGCCUACCAAGGCGACGAUCUGUAGCGGGUCUGAGAGGAUGACCCGCCACACUGGGACUGAAGAACGGCCCAGACUCCUACGGGCGGUAGCAGUGGGGAAUAUUGGACAAUGGGGGGAACCCUGAUCCAGCCAUGCCGCGUGUGUGAAGAAGGCCUUAUGGUUGUAAAGCACUUUAAGCGAGGAGGAGGCUACUUUAGUUAAUACCUAGAGAUAGUGGACGUUACUCGCAGAAUAAGCACCGGCUAACUCUGUGCCAGCAGCCGCAGUAA
rnacentral:rRNA from 1 species